CUGAAAGCAGGACAGCAGGCGACAUUACUGGAGAUGACACGACAGGUUUGAAACUAACUGCGCACGUCUCGCCUUUGAAUAUGUUGUGAACGAAACAGGGAAGAGGAGGAGGCUCAUGAGGAGCCUUCCAUGCAUGUUUUUGGAAUGUGGGAGGAAACCGGAGUACCCAGAGAAAACCCACCAAGACACUUGCAAACUCCACACAGGAAAGCUCGAGUCGGAAUCGGACCCUGCACGUCUGCACUGUGACGCGGAAGUGCUAGCCAGUUGACCACCCUGCUAGGUAAAACGAUUUAAAAUAUAUAUACAGGUAUAUAUCGUGUCUACAUUGUAGAUCUGUAACUUUAUUUUUCAUGCAUGUCCCAAUUGGGUGUCUUUGCACAUGCAGGAAUAAGAAUUCUGGUGCUUUUAAUGGCGCUAACAUACACAAACAAGAGUACUACUGCUGCUUUACAUGUCCAACAAACGCACAACAACGAUAACAACAAAAAAAAGCACAUCAUGCUGAAGAGUCAUUCUCGAGUUGCAGCUGUGGUAGUGUCGGCCGACCUCACUUGCGUGACAAGGAUACGAGUGCAACCCGAGAGGAAUGUUUCACAUAAGUUGCACGCGUCCCGUCAGUGAAACAAAUAAGUAGGUCAAAGCUCUCGAGUUACAUCAAAACAACAUACAUAAAACAUAUUGUAUCAGCCUGUUUUUCCUUGUACGGCUGUUUAGAAUAAGAACACUGUGUACUCACAUGCUUUUCAAUUCAAUUCUCA